UACGUAGGGUGCGAGCGUUGUCCGGAAUUAUUGGGCGUAAAGAGCUCGUAGGUGGUUUGUCGCGUUGUUCGUGAAAACUCACAGCUCAACUGUGGGCGUGCGGGCGAUACGGGCAGACUGGAGUACUGCAGGGGAGACUGGAAUUCCUGGUGUAGCGGUGGAACGCGCAGAUAUCAGGAGGAACACCGGUGGCGAAGGCGGGUCUCUGGGCAGUAACUGACGCUGAGGAGCGAAAGCGUGGGGAGCGAACAGG
rnacentral:rRNA from 1 species